UCCUGGUUUCCCAGGCAGUCCCACUAGAGUGCUCUGCAUAACAGAUAGCAACUAAUGGCAAGAGUUGCGCUCGUUAAAGGACUUAACCCAACAUCUCACGACACGAGCUGACGACAACCAUGCAGCACCUGUGUAUCUGUCUGAACCGAAGCCCAAAAGAUCAUAUUUCUAUGACUGUCAAAUACAUGUCAAGUCUAGGUAAGGUUCCUCGCGUAGUGUCGAAUUAAACCACAUGUUCCACCGCUUGUGCGGGCCCCCGUCAAUUCCUUUGAGUUUUAAUCUUGCGAUCGUAAUCCCCAGGCGGACCACUUAGCGCGUUAGCUACGACACCAACUCUGCAAAACAGAGCUGACGUCCAGUGAUCAUCGUUUACAGCGUGGACUAC
rnacentral:misc_RNA from 1 species